GCAGUGUACCCGCGGCAAGACGGAAAGACCCCGUGAACCUUUACUAUAGCUUGACACUGAACAUUGAGCCUUGAUGUGUAGGAUAGGUGGGAGGCUUUGAAGUGUGGACGCCAGUCUGCAUGGAGCCGACCUUGAAAUACCACCCUUUAAUGUUUGAUGUUCUAACGUGGACCCGUGAUCCGGGUUGCGGACAGUGUCUGGUGGGUAGUUUGACUGGGGCGGUCUCCUCCUAAAGAGUAACGGAGGAGCACGAAGGUUGGCUAAUCCUGGUCGGACAUCAGGAGGUUAGUGCAAUGGCAUAAGCCAGCUUGACUGCGAGCGUGACGGCGCGAGCAGGUGCGAAAGCAGGUCAUAGUGAUCCGGUGGUUCUGAAUGGAAGGGCCAUCGCUCAACGGAUAAAAGGUACUCCGGGGAUAACAGGCUGAUACCGCCCAAGAGUUCAUAUCGACGGCGGUGUUUGGCACCUCGAUGUCGGCUCAUCACAUCCUGGGGCUGAAGUAGGUCCCAAGGGUAUGGCUGUUCGCCAUUUAAAGUGGUACGCGAGCUGGGUUUAGAACGUCGUGAGACAGUUCGGUCCCUAUCUGCCGUGGGCGCUGGAGAACUGAGGGGGGCUGCUCCUAGUACGAGAGGACCGGAGUGGACGCAUCACUGGUGUUCGGGUUGUCAUGCCAAUGGCACUGCCCGGUAGCUAAAUGCGGAAGAGAUAAGUGCUGAAAGCAUCUAAGCACGAAACUUGCCCCGAGAUGAGUUCUCCCUGAGACUUAGAGUCUCCUGAAGGAACGUUGAAGACGACGACGUUGAUAGGCCGGGUGUGUAAGCGCAGCGAUGCGUUGAGCUAACCGGUACUAAUGAACCGUGAGGCUUAACCUUACA
rnacentral:rRNA from 1 species